UGGAACAACAUACUCUGUAUUGUAGGGAGAUGGGGAAAGAGUCCGACUAGGGUGAGUGAGGAACGGAUGGAAAGAGCAUGGGAGCAUUGAAACUGAAACUGGAGUAAGUUGGCCAGGAAGGAAAGGAGAGAAAAUGGGGAAUUGGCAGGAUGAUGGAACCAAGUGAAAGAUGUGCUAAUUAUUAGAAGAAGGUUUAGAGGACCUGAUUGAAUGAGAGAGGAAACCAUAGGUGAAGAUAUUAGUCUCAGAGAAGAAUGGACAGUAGCCAAUAUUCUGUACCAUUUGGACCCACAUUCUCAGCUACUAUGCCAUACUGUAUCACCUGUUCAAGCAUUUGUGGUAAGAAAACAGAUUUAUCAUCAGAUACAUCACUCCAGAAAACAACCCAAAAGGUUCCAGUGCACGUGAGAUUACCUUGCUGAGGAGAACCCUGGAUGAGAGAAGACGCCCUUGUUUGCCCCCAACCUGCCUGCUGACAGCUUCAUCUUGAUGAACAUGGGAAUGACCAGCAAAGCAACUGUCCAUUAUGUCUAGAAUGCUUUUCGUUCCAUGGCCAAGCAAGCCUUUCACUACCUCCCGCACUGCUCUGUCUCUGCUGUAGAGUGAACAGCAUGCCAGAGCCACGGCCUUAAAUCAUGCCAGGAAGCUGCCAGAAUAGUUCAAACCUCUCCAAGAGCAGAAGCCAAGGGAGCUGUUAUCUUAUUGCUGAAACCCAGAACAUGCUCCAGUCUUUCCAUCAAAGACCAAUUUCUAAGAAAUUGCAGUUUACUUGAGGGCUGGUGAAGAAAAUGAGACCCAGGAAGGGCCAAGACCCUUGUACACACAAGGCAGAGAACUUCGAUCCCCAGCCUAGUAGGAUCUCGCAGUGACACCGAGGUGAAUGCCUGGCUCCUGAGCUCCACUUGCCUUGCUGGGCCACAAGGUUGCUUUGAUGAUGGAAAAGCUCCAUCUUGUUUCAUUCCAUUGCAUUCUACCCUUAAAAAAGAACCGAUUUCUUUUCUUUUCUUUCAAAUUUCUGAGGUGAGGGGGUGCUUCAAGAAGUGUGCCAGUUUCCUGUUUCAUCAGAUCUAACAAAAUCAUGCCAUAAUUUCAGUUUCUUAUUGUUUCAUGAGAGAUCAGCCUUAUUUCUUCACUUAGGAAAUAUUCAUUGAUAUA